UAGGUGGCGAGCGUUAUCCGGAAUUACUGGGUGUAAAGGGUGUGUAGGCGGGGAAGCAAGUCAGAUGUGAAAAUUAUGGGCUCAACUCAUAACCUGCAUUUGAAACUGUUUUUCUUGAGAGUGGGAGAGGUAAACGGAAUUCCUGGUGUAGUAGUGAAAUGCGUAGAUAUCAGGAGGAACACCGGUGGCGAAGGCGGUUUACUGGACCACAACUGACGCUGAGACACGAAAGCGUGGGGAGCAAA
rnacentral:rRNA from 1 species